UACGAAGGAUGCGAGCGUUAUCCGGAUUUAUUGGGUUUAAAGGGAGCGUAGGCGGUCUUAUAAGUCAGUGGUGAAAUCCUAUCGCUUAACGAUAGACGUGCCAUUGAUACUGUAGGACUUGAGUACAGAUGCCGUUGGCGGAAUGUGUCAUGUAGCGGUGAAAUGCAUAGAUAUGACACAGAACACCGAUUGCGAAGGCAGCU
rnacentral:rRNA from 1 species